UGCUGGGACUGAGCAGCAGUCACUGGAAACCGGGAGCUGCUUUUGCACCGAGCCAGACUUGACGGGAACCGGGUUGCGCUGGCGACCUGAAGCCAAGCGGAAGUCGGGCGUCCUGAGAUUCCAGCGAAAUUCCGGUCGCUGGAAGCCAGCCGCGCGCCGUUCCCAUCCAUUACCAGGACUCCGGAAGUCGUUAGUGCUGGCAAGCCGAAGCCAACCGGAAGUCGGGAAUCGUGAGUCUCAGAAGCCCCAUUCCCGUCUCUGCAGGGGAAGCCAGAAUGGGACGGGAACUCGGUAAUGCUGGCGACCUGAAGCCAAGCGGAAGGAGGGAGCACUGGAACUUGAAAGCGAAAUUCCCGACUCUAUUUCCCCGCGAUCCCCGAUGGCAGACCGGAAGUCUGUAGUGCUGGCGAGCUGAAGCCAACCGGAGAUCGGGCGUGCGAAACUCCAGUCACGAAACAGUGUGUGUUGCCCACCCCGCGGAAACCGGAAGUCGAUAGUCCUGGCGAGCUGAAGCCAACCGGAAGUCUGGUGUGCUGUGCCUCACUCGGGGCGCUGGCGUCACACAGCGAGGGCGGCACCGAGUCCCAGGGCGGCGUUCUGCAGACCGGAAGCGGAAGCGCGUCACAGAGCGGGUCCGUCCCUUGGGCGGCAGCGUCGGGGAUGCGGGCGAUGCGUUCUGAGCUUGAUCCAGGCGGCGGUGGAGCCCGCGGGCCAGCGGAAGUGGCGGGGCCAUGGGCGGGACCUGCGGUAAUUGCCGUGUGUGGCUCAGGGAAACCACCAGGACAGCAGAGGUUCUGGGCGCGCGCCAUUCCUGGAAUUGAUGAGAUGUCUCUGGUCCUAAUAAACUGA
rnacentral:lncRNA from 1 species